rnacentral:rRNA from 1 species
AACUUUCAGCAACGGAUCUCUUGGCUCUCGCAUCGAUGAAGAACGCAGCGAAAUGCGAUAAGUAAUGUGAAUUGCAGAAUUCAGUGAAUCAUCGAAUCUUUGAACGCACCUUGCGCCCCUUGGUCAUUCCUCGGGGCAUGCCUGUUUGAGUAUCAUGAACACCUCAACUCUCAUGGU